GACCUGAAACACGUGGGUAUAAAAUUCGACAAACAGAUCUCAUCAUGUUUGUUCACAUUUUCCGAGACCUUUUCUUCACUUGAAGGUUCUAUUCAUCACUCUCACUAAAAUCUAAAAAACGAUGAGCUCUCAAAUCUGCAGAUCUGCUUCCAAAUCAGCAAGGUCUCUUCUUUCCUCAGCUAAGAACGCUCGUUUCUUCUCCGCAGCGGUCACUGCAUCUGCAAAGAUCCCUCUCUAUGCAUCUAACUUUGCAAGAUCGCUGGAUCACUGGACUCUUGGCUCUUCCUGCUGCAGCCUACAUGGUUCAAGAUCAGGAGGUUCUUGCUGCUGAGAUGGAACGCACGUUCAUCGCUAUCAAGCCUGAUGGAGGACUGGUAAAUUUUAGUCUUGAUUCAUAUGUGUGCUAAUCUCUUAUCUCAUGAACCAACAGAUAUCAGAGAUCAUUUCUCGGUUCGAACGCAAGGGAUUCAAGCUUGUUGGGAUCAAGGUCGUUGUUCCUUCCAAAGAUUUCGCUCAGAAGCAUUACCAUGAUCUUAAGGAAAGACCUUUCUUCAAUGGCUUGUGUGACUUCCUUAGCUCUGGUCCUGUUAUUGCCAUGCAAUAUGGAAUAUUGUGUUACCAUCUUCAUCCUUCCAGUCCAAGAUUUCCUUCCUGUUUGCUCUCUUGAGCCAUCCCAAUAGAACCUUAAAUGCCUUAAGCUGUUGGUUCUCCACAGCAAUGUGCAAAGCUGUCUCACAAAUCUUCUAUGGAAGAAGGACAAGCUAACAAGAGUUCCACUCAACAAUUCUGCAUCACCUGUCUGAGCCACAUGAUGCAAAGGAAGCUAAAUGCAUAGGGCUGAAACCUGAAACGUUUAGCUUUGAAGCAAGCAACGGCUUAAGGGUCAUGAGUUCCAUGGCAAAAUGGGUUUGCCCUUUUUCAGCUGCAAUGUGUAGUACUGGUGUCUCACAAAAAGGAACAUUUUUGCCAAAUUGACAUUAAAUGUUUUGAUCUUCUGCUAUCAACUUGUAGAGUCUUUCUAUGUGUCCAUCUUGAGCAGCCUUCUUCAAUUUCUCAUAGAUAUUUUCAUCUUGAGUGCUUCUACUCGAUCUCCCAUUCAAAUUUACUUCUUGAGCUACCAUCUCCGAUACUCUAUGACACAGCUUCACUAGUAACCCCGGCUUCAGCUCCCUCCAUAGACUUUUAACUUUUGUUUCUUGCAACACAUGCUUAAGUAGAAAACACAGUCUCCAAUCAACUACCUUAUAUAUAAAACACUUUAGUUAUUCUAAUCUUAGACCACUCAUUUUUUCACAUGCCAAUUUGAUAAAUUCAUGCAAUAUUCAAAUUAAUUUAGCUAGGUUCCACAUUAGGGUGGUUGAAAGUUGAAACCCAUCAAGGCAUCAUCGAAAGUACAGCCAUAGUUUGUGUCCAUACCAAACACCAUAGAAAUGAACAGUCCUACGGUAGCUACUCUACCUUAGCUGUCGGUGAAUAAAAAGAUUGAACUAAAAAAAAUAUCAAUCUAAGAUAUACCAAUCCACCUCUACUGACAGUGCGCCUUUAAGUCCGUACCUUUACAUCUACUACUGCAAACUUGAAUGAACAGAGAUUCCCAUCAGAAAAUGCAAAAGCAAAAGACCCACAUUAACUUGAGUUUAUAAUGUAUCAUUUAGAAGAAGAAUUGCAAAAGUUGGAGACUAUAAUCCUCAACUGACGUGGAAUCUUAAGUUCAUACCUGGAGCUGCAGUAAUGAGCAGAGGUCUUGAAACCAUACAUGGAUGGGACUGCAAAUUAAAGAUAAAUGAAAAUGGAGAUAAGAUCUUAUAGAUAUGUAUGUUCAAAAAAAUAAAAUGUUAUAGAGGUAGUUAACGAAACAACAUGAACAUUUUUUCUUUUCCAUGAAAAUGGAGAUAAGAACUUAGCAUAGGGAGAGGUAGCCAACAAAACAAUCAAAAUGUUGGGCAACAAUAAUACUGGAGAACUUGUCACAGUACUAACAGAAAAUCUAAAAUAUACCCUUUUUUGAUAAUCAGAUGAUUCGUCCAUUGUCAUUUCUCUUAUGAAGAACUAUAAGCUUUUUCACUACAAUAAUGUUCAUUCUACCUACUCGUGCUAUAUAAGCGGGUCCAUGGAAAGGCAGUUCCCUUGAACGAUACCUGUCUGGGACAUUUCAUUGAACAUUAUACAUAAUCAAAAAUUAGUUUUCCCUUUUUCGGCUGCAAUGGAUCCGGUGUCUCACAAAAUGGCACUUUAUCAAGAUGACCUAUGUCUGGAUCUUCUUCUAUAACUUGCAGAGUCUUUCUAUAUACAAUAUCAAGAUACAUAAAAACUCUACAAGUUGAUAGCAGAAGAUCAAAACAUUCUAGGUCGUUUCGAUACUGAACUACCAUCCAAAUCUUCAUCUGUUGACAAUCACAACAAUCACAACAAUCAACAUAUACUUUACUCAUGAUCCAGGCUUCUGAUAGCCCUACAGUUUUUUUUUUCGUUUUUGGCUCCUGCAACACAUGCUUAAGUAGAAGGCACAAAGUCUCAAACCAACUACCUUGCCUAGGAAAAACGUUCAUUACUCCUAAUCUCAUACCACUCAUCUUAAUUUUGAAGUCUGUACGACCAUAUCUUUCUGGCAACAAUAUGGCAUCCUAGGUAAGUUAUUAAUGGCAUUUCAAAAAGAGUGAUGGGGAUAUCGCAAAUUCAAUUUAGUUAGGUUUAACAUCACGAUUAGGCCUGGGCGUUCGGGUCUUCGGGUCGGGUU